AGCGUACACGGUGGAUGCCCUGGCAGUCAGAGGCGAUGAAGGACGUGCUAAUCUGCGAUAAGCGUCGGUAAGGUGAUAUGAACCGUUAUAACCGGCGAUUUCCGAAUGGGGAAACCCAGUGUGUUUCGACACACUAUCAUUAACUGAAUCCAUAGGUUAAUGAGGCGAACCGGGGGAACUGAAACAUCUAAGUACCCCGAGGAAAAGAAAUCAACCGAGAUUCCCCCAGUAGCGGCGAGCGAACGGGGAGCAGCCCAGAGCCUGAAUCAGUGUGUGUGUUAGUGGAAGCGUCUGGAAAGGCGCGCGAUACAGGGUGACAGCCCCGUACACAAAAAUGCACAUGCUGUGAGCUCGAUGAGUAGGGCGGGACACGUGGUAUCCUGUCUGAAUAUGGGGGGACCAUCCUCCAAGGCUAAAUACUCCUGACUGACCGAUAGUGAACCAGUACCGUGAGGGAAAGGCGAAAAGAACCCCGGCGAGGGGAGUGAAAAAGAACCUGAAACCGUGUACGUACAAGCAGUGGGAGCACGCUUAGGCGUGUGACUGCGUACCUUUUGUAUAAUGGGUCAGCGACUUAUAUUCUGUAGCAAGGUUAACCGAAUAGGGGAGCCGAAGGGAAACCGAGUCUUAACUGGGCGUUAAGUUGCAGGGUAUAGACCCGAAACCCGGUGAUCUAGCCAUGGGCAGGUUGAAGGUUGGGUAACACUAACUGGAGGACCGAACCGACUAAUGUUGAAAAAUUAGCGGAUGACUUGUGGCUGGGGGUGAAAGGCCAAUCAAACCGGGAGAUAGCUGGUUCUCCCCGAAAGCUAUUUAGGUAGCGCCUCGUGAAUUCAUCUCCGGGGGUAGAGCACUGUUUCGGCAAGGGGGUCAUCCCGACUUACCAACCCGAUGCAAACUGCGAAUACCGGAGAAUGUUAUCACGGGAGACACACGGCGGGUGCUAACGUCCGUCGUGAAGAGGGAAACAACCCAGACCGCCAGCUAAGGUCCCAAAGUCAUGGUUAAGUGGGAAACGAUGUGGGAAGGCCCAGACAGCCAGGAUGUUGGCUUAGAAGCAGCCAUCAUUUAAAGAAAGCGUAAUAGCUCACUGGUCGAGUCGGCCUGCGCGGAAGAUGUAACGGGGCUAAACCAUGCACCGAAGCUGCGGCAGCGACGCUGAUGCGUUGUUGGGUAGGGGAGCGUUCUGUAAGCCUGUGAAGGUGUGCUGUGAGGCAUGCUGGAGGUAUCAGAAGUGCGAAUGCUGACAUAAGUAACGAUAAAGCGGGUGAAAAGCCCGCUCGCCGGAAGACCAAGGGUUCCUGUCCAACGUUAAUCGGGGCAGGGUGAGUCGACCCCUAAGGCGAGGCCGAAAGGCGUAGUCGAUGGGAAACAGGUUAAUAUUCCUGUACUUGGUGUUACUGCGAAGGGGGGACGGAGAAGGCUAUGUUGGCCGGGCGACGGUUGUCCCGGUUUAAGCGUGUAGGCUGGUUUUCCAGGCAAAUCCGGAAAAUCAAGGCUGAGGCGUGAUGACGAGGCACUACGGUGCUGAAGCAACAAAUGCCCUGCUUCCAGGAAAAGCCUCUAAGCAUCAGGUAACAUCAAAUCGUACCCCAAACCGACACAGGUGGUCAGGUAGAGAAUACCAAGGCGCUUGAGAGAACUCGGGUGAAGGAACUAGGCAAAAUGGUGCCGUAACUUCGGGAGAAGGCACGCUGAUAUGUAGGUGAAGCGACUUGCUCGUGGAGCUGAAAUCAGUCGAAGAUACCAGCUGGCUGCAACUGUUUAUUAAAAACACAGCACUGUGCAAACACGAAAGUGGACGUAUACGGUGUGACGCCUGCCCGGUGCCGGAAGGUUAAUUGAUGGGGUCAGCGCAAGCGAAGCUCUUGAUCGAAGCCCCGGUAAACGGCGGCCGUAACUAUAACGGUCCUAAGGUAGCGAAAUUCCUUGUCGGGUAAGUUCCGACCUGCACGAAUGGCGUAAUGAUGGCCAGGCUGUCUCCACCCGAGACUCAGUGAAAUUGAACUCGCUGUGAAGAUGCAGUGUACCCGCGGCAAGACGGAAAGACCCCGUGAACCUUUACUAUAGCUUGACACUGAACAUUGAGCCUUGAUGUGUAGGAUAGGUGGGAGGCUUUGAAGUGUGGACGCCAGUCUGCAUGGAGCCGACCUUGAAAUACCACCCUUUAAUGUUUGAUGUUCUAACGUUGACCCGUAAUCCGGGUUGCGGACAGUGUCUGGUGGGUAGUUUGACUGGGGCGGUCUCCUCCUAAAGAGUAACGGAGGAGCACGAAGGUUGGCUAAUCCUGGUCGGACAUCAGGAGGUUAGUGCAAUGGCAUAAGCCAGCUUGACUGCGAGCGUGACGGCGCGAGCAGGUGCGAAAGCAGGUCAUAGUGAUCCGGUGGUUCUGAAUGGAAGGGCCAUCGCUCAACGGAUAAAAGGUACUCCGGGGAUAACAGGCUGAUACCGCCCAAGAGUUCAUAUCGACGGCGGUGUUUGGCACCUCGAUGUCGGCUCAUCACAUCCUGGGGCUGAAGUAGGUCCCAAGGGUAUGGCUGUUCGCCAUUUAAAGUGGUACGCGAGCUGGGUUUAGAACGUCGUGAGACAGUUCGGUCCCUAUCUGCCGUGGGCGCUGGAGAACUGAGGGGGGCUGCUCCUAGUACGAGAGGACCGGAGUGGACGCAUCACUGGUGUUCGGGUUGUCAUGCCAAUGGCACUGCCCGGUAGCUAAAUGCGGAAGAGAUAAGUGCUGAAAGCAUCUAAGCACGAAACUUGCCCCGAGAUGAGUUCU
rnacentral:rRNA from 1 species